GAUGAACGCUAGCUACAGGCUUAACACAUGCAAGUCGAGGGCAGCGGGAUUGAAGCUUGCUUCAAUUGCCGGCGACCGGCGCACGGGUGAGUAACGCGUAUCCAACCUUCCGUACACUCAGGGAUAGCCUUUCGAAAGAAAGAUUAAUACCUGAUGGUAUGAUGAGAUCGCAUGGUAUCAUCAUUAAAGAUUUAUCGGUGUACGAUGGGGAUGCGUUCCAUUAGGUAGUAGGCGGGGUAACGCCCACCUAGCCUACGAUGGAUAGGGGUUCUGAGAGGAAGGUCCCCCACAUUGGAACUGAGACACGGUCCAAACUCCUACGGGAGGCAGCAGUGAGGAAUAUUGGUCAAUGGACGAGAGUCUGAACCAGCCAAGUAGCGUGAAGGAUGAAGGUCCUAGGAUUGUAAACUUCUUUUAUAAGGGAAUAAAACCUCC
rnacentral:rRNA from 1 species